AAAUUACUUGUCAUGGCUUGUUGUCUCACACACUCUCACAGUAGCCCCCAGCGGCGAAGGCCACCAUCCAACGGCAUUUCCUCCGUGCAGCCGCCGGCCAACAUCUUUUUCCGACCCUCCUACUCUCACCGGCGCCAUUUCCUCCGUUAUAUUUAUUUUUCCAUCUCUCUCUAUCUCAUCUAUUCAUAUAGUUAAUAUUUUGUUUUGGGAUUUUUGGGGGAUUUUUCCAAGUUCUUUAAAGUAGGUUUUGUAAUUCUUCUGCAAUGUUUCCCCUUUUGGCAUUCAACCUUUAUAAUAGGCAGCUUACAGUUUGUUGAUAAUGAAGUUGAACUCGAGGAAUCCCGUAGACAUUUUUCCUUAUAGAGUUGUUGUCAUGAAGGUAGUUGUGAAGGAGGAUAAGAAGAUUCAAAAAGUGGAAGAAAUUGUAGUUGUGAAAGGAGGGACAAAAUGGACCAUGAAAUGUUGGUGAGCAUAAUGGAGAGGUUGUCAUAUGGCGGCAACUGGCUUUUGUUGUGGGCUAUAUGUUUGCAAGUCAUGGUCGCCAGCACUCCUGGAUUUCUUGUUCCCUCUGACCUCCAUGCUCAACCUCCACCCCAUUGAUUCUACAGAAGGCAUACAUGUCCAAAAUAGGUUUCUCUGUCACAUGGAGCUGGUGGCACCCAACUUUACCAGUCCAUAUAAUGGUCCGAGUUCCACUGCUGCUUGCUUAGACAGGACAUACAAGUGCAACAAUAUCAGUCAAAGGAAUGAUAGUACACCAUACAAUGGUUUGACAGCGCAUACAGUUAUAUCGCUCAAAGGUAUUGCAGUUCUUCAACUGGAAAAAUUGGAAUUUCUUUAUAGUUGUUUUUUUUUUUUUUUUAUGCUGGUUAACUUGCUUGUUGCAUACUUGUGUAGAGGGUUAGAGAUUAGUUGUUUGGUUGUCACUGGUUGGUUUGAAGUAUACUAAGUAGGAUUAGAGAUAAAUGGAUUUAAAAAGAAGCUAGAGCUUCUGGUCUCUGUCCUGAAUAUGACACUACUACUUUGUUCAUCAUUUUGCUAGAGUAAGUCUUUUGUAUAUGGGAGUUAGAUAAUGGGGAAAACUUUACAUGGUAUUCAGAAAAUGACAACAAAUGUAAAGAAGUGGAAAGAAUGAAAUUAAUAGCAUAUAGGUCUUAGAUAAUGUGAUCAACAGUUUUCCUUAUUCCGUAAUUUGCUUGUUUAUAUGCGUUGGACUGAUUGGAGUAUAGGUUUCUGAUUUAUAUGCUUGAUGCAAUUUCCGUCUAAUUCAUUUAUAUGGAUCUUUCUAGUAGUUGUCUUGAAUGAUAUAAAAGCUCCCAAGUUCACUGUGUUUAAAGCCUAAGUAUUGGGGGGAGAUUAGCUGUUCAAGUACUGAUUGUCAUCUCUCUGAUUUUUGUGAUCUUGGAGUGUGCCUGAAUUUGAUAAAUGAAUUAUUGAUUUGGUGGCUAAAGCUAAAGAAAACGGAUUAAAAAUAAAUAAAUAAAGGUAAGUCUAGCAAAAGAAUAUCUAAAGAAAAAGGAUUAAAAAUAUAUAAAUAACGGCAAGCCUAGCAGAAGAAUAUUCUUUCAGGAAUAUAAAAUUCUAAAAGGGAAUGGCUUGUAUGAAGAAAAUUAAUUACUUUACACUUGUUAGGAAUUAAUGUUAUAAUCAUGCAGAAAUAGAUGAAAACCAAUUUGUUCAGUAUCUGUUAAAAUAUAUGCCUUAUACAUGAUAUAUUAUAGUACCUACCUUAAGGGUUGAAAUUUCUUGUGAAGGACAAAAAGAUAAGGAAAUUUGUUUCUUUUCUCAUCUUAUAUUAUUCUUUUUUAUUUUUUUUCUUUUCUUUUCUGGGUUUAAAUAGUAAUGAUUUUGUAAAAAGCCAAUUAACAAUUUAAAGUUGAAAAAUGCGAAAACGCAAAGGCCCUGGCUUACUAAAAAGUUAAUAAAAAUAGCUGAUAUUCUUCACCAUGUUUCUCUGUUAGAAACUAAUUGUUGUUUUUUUUUUUUUUUUUUUUUUGGUCUUUUUGAGUUGAUGAUUACAUAUAAACUAAUGAUAAACUAUAUACGUAAUUAGGAGAAUCCUAAUCAUACAAUCUAACAAAUAGAAAUCUUUUCUGACGAUAAUGAUACAUUUAGUUUCAAAACAAAUUAAGUUAGCAUUUUCUUUUAUAAGAAGCUGUCAAAAACAUGACAAACCAUAAAUAUGGUUGUUAAAACAACUGAGUACUUUUCUUUAUGUUUAGAUUCUGAAGUCCACAAAAGAAAGAAAUAAUAAGAGAGCCUAAAAUUCUUACAAAUUUUAGUGGGAAAAAAACAAAAUAUAUACGUUGCUUCUCAUUUUAAUUAUCUUUCUUUCGAGAAACUAAUCCAUUGAAUGAUCAAAAAAUAAACUUCUAUAGAAAUUGAAAUUGUAUGUUUCUUUCUUAUGAUCAACUUCAUGUUAAAGGUAUUCAUACUUUAUCAGCACUCAAGCAUGAUUAUCAUGUGUUGUAAGAUUGGCCUGAUGCUUGACAUGGGCUAACUAAUUUGCUUCCGCUCUGCCAUGAAUGAAAUAUUUAUUGGAGUAGAGAUGGAAAAAUUCCUCCCAAAAGCAUGCCUUUUUGAGGUUGCAAAAGCAGCCUAAUUAAGCUACCCAGCCCCUUUGUCUAAUUGUAUAUUCCUAUCUACUUGUAAAAGAAACAACCUCUCCACCCCUUGUUUGUUGCGCAUAAAGACACCCGAAGUUGAACCUUAAACAAUUGAAUGCGUGUCUUUGUCUUUUCCUUUCUCAUUAGUUUCAAAUUUUUUUUUUUUGGGCUUAAUUAAUAUCUAUAUAUCCAAUAAUAAUCUUGUCAAAAAAUCAUAACGUUAUAAGAUAUUUUAACUUUGUAAAAUUAGGUUAAGUAAAAUUGAUUCGAUUUGUAAUCUAUUUACACAUAUGAUUGAAAGACCGUGCAUAAAUGAUCCA